CAGUCAUGCUAGUGGGGGAAUCAACUUGAUGGUGUGUGGGUUCUCUCGCAUACUUUCCGGUGCACUUCCUCACUCGGCAGGUUAGCAGGGGGGUCAAUUUCGGUUAUCAUAAAAAAUUUGAGGGAAUGUGGCUUUCCUUCGGGAAAGUGUUAUAGACCUCGAUCUAUGUGGUGACCGGGAUUGAGGAUUGCAGCGGAUACCCUCGUGGCUUAUUACCUGGCUUCUG
rnacentral:rRNA from 1 species